CCUACGAGUGGCAGCAGUGGGGAAUAUUGCACAAUGGGGGAAAGCCUGAUGCAGCGACGCCGCGUGAGUGAAGAAGGAUUUCGGGAUGUAAAGCUCUAUCAGCAGGGAAGAAAAUGACGGUACCUGACUAAGAAGCCCCGGCUAACGACGUGCCAGCAGCCGCGGUAAUACGUAGGGGGCAAGCGUUAUCCGGAUUUACUGGGUGUAAAGGGAGCGUAGACGGCCAGACAAGUCAGAAGUGAAAGCCCAGGGCUCAACCCUGGGACUGCGUUUGAAACUGGCGGGCUGGAGUGCAGGAGAGGUAAGCGGAAUGCGUAGUGUAGCGGGGAAAUGCGUAGAUAUUAGGAGGAACACCAGUGGCGAAGGCGGCUUACUGGACUGUAACUGACGUUGAGGCUCGAAAGCGUGGGGAGCAAACAGGAUUAGAUACCCGAGUAGUC
rnacentral:rRNA from 1 species